rnacentral:rRNA from 1 species
AAAUGGGAAGACGUUUCUCAAGGUUCCAACCCGCACCGUUGGUUGUUGCGGGCUACUAGAAGACUUGGCUAGAUGAGAGUUUAGCGGAAUGGUUGACUAGGGCGAAGGGAUCCCUUCGGGGUGAACGAAGUGGGACUGAGGGGGGCCGAGAAAAUCCCCACAGCAAUACCAUGCAUCUGACCGUACUGCAAACCGACACAGGUAGGUGAGUCGAGAAGACUAAGGCGUUCGAGAGAACUCUCGUUAAGGAACUAGGCAAAUGAGCCCCGUAACUUCGGAAUAAGGGGCGCCCCGCAAGGGGCCGCAGCGAAGCAUCCCAGGCGACUGUUUACCAAAAACACAGGUCUCUGCUAAGACGAAAGUCGAUGUAUAGGGGCUGACGCCUGCCCAAUGCCCGUAGGUUAACAGGAGAUGUUAGGAGCAAUCCGAAGCAUUGAAUCGAAGCCCGGGUGAAUGGCGGCCGUAACUCUAACGGUCCUAAGGUAGCGAAAUUCCUUGUCGGCUAAAUACCGACCCGCAUGAAAGGCGUAACGACUUGGGAACUGUCUCAACGAGAAGCUCGGUGAAAAUGUAGCGCCCGUGAAGAUGCGGGCUAUGCGCAGUAGGACGGAAAGACCCCGUGGAGCUUUACUACACCUUGUGAUUGUGAAUUGGAUGUAGAUGUAGAGCGUAGGUGGGAGCUUCGGCACCAAUGGAACACCACCCUUCUACAUCUGGUUUACUAACUGUUGCCCUGAUCGGGUAACAAGACAAUCACUGGCGGGUAGUUUGACUGGGGCGGUCGCCUCCCAAAAUGUAACGGAGGCGUCUAAAGUUACACUCAGGCUGGUUGGAAAUCAGCCGUCGAGCAUAUUGGUAUAGAGUGUGAUUGACUGCGAGACACACAGGUCAAGCAGGUACGAAAGUAGAGCAAAGUGACCCUCUGGUUGUGCGUGGGCACGCCAGGGUUCAUCGGAUAUAAGCUACCCCGGGGAUAACAGGCUGAUCUUGCCCGAGCGCUCACAGCGACGGCAUGGUUUGGCACCUCGAUGUCGGCUCGUCUCAUCCUGGGGCUGUACACGGUCCCAAGGGUUCCGGAGUUCACGGAUUAAAGAGGCACGCGAGCUGGGUUCAGAACGGCGUGAGCCAGUUCGGUCCCUAUCCACUGUGCACGUAAGAAAUUUGAAGGGAGUCGCUCUUAGUACGAGAGGACCGGAGCGAACCGACCUCUGGUGUACCAAUUGUUCCGCCAGGAGCAUACGUUGGGUAGCCACGUCGGGCAGGGAUAAGCGCUGAAAGCAUCUAAGCGCCAAGCCCACCCUAAGAUUAGAUUUCUCAUCAAUAUGAGUAAGGCCUCUGGAAGACCACCAGAUUGAUAGGUCGCAGCUGUACGCACGGUAACGUGUUUAGGUAAGCGAUACUAAUUGGCCGAGGGCUCAAAA